rnacentral:rRNA from 1 species
AACGCUGGCGGCGUGCCUAACACAUGCAAGUCGAAACGGAGUUCCUUCGGGGGACUUAGUGGCGAACGGGUGAGUAACGCGUGAAGAACCUGCCUUUCAGUGGGGGACAACAGUUGGAAACGACUGCUAAUACCGCAUAAUGUUAUUUGGGGGCAUCCUCGAAUAACCAAAGAUUUAUUGCUGAAAGAUGGCUUCGCGUCUGAUUAGCUAGAUGGCGGGGUAACGGCCCACCAUGGCGACGAUCAGUAGCCGGUCUGAGAGGAUGAACGGCCACAUUGGGACUGAGAUACGGCCCAGACUCCUACGGGAGGCAGCAGUGGGGAAUAUUGGGCAAUGGGCGAAAGCCUGACCCAGCAACGCCGCGUGAGGGAAGAAGGCCUUCGGGUUGUAAACUUCUUUUACCAGGGACGAAGGACGUGACGGUACCUGGAGAAAAAGCCACGGCUAACUACGUG